UACGGGGGGUGCGAGCGUUAAUCGGAAUAACUGGGCGUAAAGGGCACGCAGGCGGUGACUUAAGUGAGAUGUGAAAGCCCCGGGCUUAACCUGGGAAUUGCAUUUCAUACUGGGUCGCUAGAGUACUUUAGGGAGGGGUAGAAUUCCACGUGGUAGCGGUGAAAUGCGUAGAGAUGAUGGAGGAAUACCGAAGGCGAAGGCAGCCCCUUGGGAAUGUACUGACGCCUGCAUGUGCGAAAGCGUGGGGAGCAAACAGGAUUAAGAUACCCCGGUGAGUCC
rnacentral:rRNA from 1 species